AUGAACGCUGGCGGCGUGCCUAAUACAUGCAAGUCGAGCGAACAGACGAGGAGCUUGCUCCUCUGACGUUAGCGGCGGACGGGUGAGUAACACGUGGAUAACCUACCUAUAAGACUGGGAUAACUUCGGGAAACCGGAGCUAAUACCGGAUAAUAUAUUGAACCGCAUGGUUCAAUAGUGAAAGACGGUUUUGCUGUCACUUAUAGAUGGAUCCGCGCCGCAUUAGCUAGUUGGUAAGGUAACGGCUUACCAAGGCAACGAUGCGUAGCCGACCUGAGAGGGUGUUGGCCCCCCCGGGAACUGAGACCCGUCCCGACCCCCUAGGGAGGGCACAGGUGGGAAUCCUACCGAAUGGGCCGAAACCCUAACGAGGCAACGCCGCUGGAUUGUUGAAGUUCUUCGGUCCGUAAACCUUUUUAUUAGGGGAAAAACAAUUUGUUAGUUACUAUGCACGUCUUGACGGUACCUAAUCAGAAAGCCACGGCUAACUACGUG
rnacentral:rRNA from 1 species